rnacentral:rRNA from 1 species
AGCGUACACGGUGGAUGCCCUGGCAGUCAGAGGCGAUGAAGGACGUGCUAAUCUGCGAUAAGCGUCGGUGAGGUGAUAUGAACCGUUAUAACCGGCGAUUUCCGAAUGGGGAAACCCAGUGUGUUUCGACACACUAUCAUUAACUGAAUCCAUAGGUUAAUGAGGCGAACCGGGGGAACUGAAACAUCUAAGUACCCCGAGGAAAAGAAAUCAACCGAGAUUCCCCCAGUAGCGGCGAGCGAACGGGGAGGAGCCCAGAGCCUGAAUCAGUGUGUGUGUUAGUGGAAGCGUCUGGAAAGGCGCGCGAUACAGGGUGACAGCCCCGUACACAAAAAUGCACAUAUUGUGAGCUCGAUGAGUAGGGCGGGACACGUGGUAUCCUGUCUGAAUAUGGGGGGACCAUCCUCCAAGGCUAAAUACUCCUGACUGACCGAUAGUGAACCAGUACCGUGAGGGAAAGGCGAAAAGAACCCCGGCGAGGGGAGUGAAAAAGAACCUGAAACCGUGUACGUACAAGCAGUGGGAGCCUCUUAAUGGGGUGACUGCGUACCUUUUGUAUAAUGGGUCAGCGACUUAUAUUCUGUAGCAAGGUUAACCGAAUAGGGGAGCCGAAGGGAAACCGAGUCUUAACUGGGCGUUAAGUUGCAGGGUAUAGACCCGAAACCCGGUGAUCUAGCCAUGGGCAGGUUGAAGGUUGGGUAACACUAACUGGAGGACCGAACCGACUAAUGUUGAAAAAUUAGCGGAUGACUUGUGGCUGGGGGUGAAAGGCCAAUCAAACCGGGAGAUAGCUGGUUCUCCCCGAAAGCUAUUUAGGUAGCGCCUCGUGAAUUCAUCUCCGGGGGUAGAGCACUGUUUCGGCAAGGGGGUCAUCCCGACUUACCAACCCGAUGCAAACUGCGAAUACCGGAGAAUGUUAUCACGGGAGACACACGGCGGGUGCUAACGUCCGUCGUGAAGAGGGAAACAACCCAGACCGCCAGCUAAGGUCCCAAAGUCAUGGUUAAGUGGGAAACGAUGUGGGAAGGCCCAGACAGCCAGGAUGUUGGCUUAGAAGCAGCCAUCAUUUAAAGAAAGCGUAAUAGCUCACUGGUCGAGUCGGCCUGCGCGGAAGAUGUAACGGGGCUAAACCAUGCACCGAAGCUGCGGCAGCGACACUAUGUGUUGUUGGGUAGGGGAGCGUUCUGUAAGCCUGUGAAGGUGGCCUGUGAGGGUUGCUGGAGGUAUCAGAAGUGCGAAUGCUGACAUAAGUAACGAUAAAGCGGGUGAAAAGCCCGCUCGCCGGAAGACCAAGGGUUCCUGUCCAACGUUAAUCGGGGCAGGGUGAGUCGACCCCUAAGGCGAGGCCGAAAGGCGUAGUCGAUGGGAAACAGGUUAAUAUUCCUGUACUUGGUGUUACUGCGAAGGGGGGACGGAGAAGGCUAUGUUGGCCGGGCGACGGUUGUCCCGGUUUAAGCGUGUAGGCUGGUUUUCCAGGCAAAUCCGGAAAACCAAGGCUGAGGCGUGAUGACGAGGCACUACGGUGCUGAAGCGACAAAUGCCCUGCUUCCAGGAAAAGCCUCUAAGCAUCAGGUAACAUCAAAUCGUACCCCAAACCGACACAGGUGGUCAGGUAGAGAAUACCAAGGCGCUUGAGAGAACUCGGGUGAAGGAACUAGGCAAAAUGGUGCCGUAACUUCGGGAGAAGGCACGCUGAUAUGUAGGUGAAGCGACUUGCUCGUGGAGCUGAAAUCAGUCGAAGAUACCAGCUGGCUGCAACUGUUUAUUAAAAACACAGCACUGUGCAAACACGAAAGUGGACGUAUACGGUGUGACGCCUGCCCGGUGCCGGAAGGUUAAUUGAUGGGGUUAGCGGUAACGCGAAGCUCUUGAUCGAAGCCCCGGUAAACGGCGGCCGUAACUAUAACGGUCCUAAGGUAGCGAAAUUCCUUGUCGGGUAAGUUCCGACCUGCACGAAUGGCGUAAUGAUGGCCAGGCUGUCUCCACCCGAGACUCAGUGAAAUUGAACUCGCUGUGAAGAUGCAGUGUACCCGCGGCAAGACGGAAAGACCCCGUGAACCUUUACUAUAGCUUGACACUGAACAUUGAGCCUUGAUGUGUAGGAUAGGUGGGAGGCUUUGAAGUGUGGACGCCAGUCUGCAUGGAGCCGGCCUUGAAAUACCACCCUUUAAUGUUUGAUGUUCUAACGU